GAUGAACGUUGGCGGUGUGCCUAAUACAUGCAAGUCGAACGGAGACUGUAGCAAUACUGUCUUAGUGGCGAACGGGUGAGUAACGCGUUGGUGAUCUGCCUCGAAGUGUGGAAUAACCUCCCGAAAGGGAAGCUAAUACCGCAUAGUCUCUCAAGGUUUAGAAAAUUGAGAGUAAAGGAUUUAUUCGCUUCGAGAGGAGCCUGCGUCCCAUCAGCUAGUUGGUAGGGUAACGGCCUACCAAGGCAAUGACGGGUAGGGGACCUGAGAGGGUGGCCCCCCACAAUGGAACUGAAACACGGUCCAUACACCUACGGGUGGCAGCAGUAGGGAAUAUUAGAAAUGGGCGGAAGCCUGAUCUAGCAACACCGCUGUGCGAUGAAGGCCUUCGGGUCGUAAAGCACUUUUUGGAGGGAAUAGGAAGGAAGGUACCUCCAGAAUAAGUCUCGGCUAACUACGUG
rnacentral:rRNA from 1 species